rnacentral:sRNA from 1 species
CCCAGCGCUGGAAGCGCUGGGCUAAAUUGUUUCGUCCUCCGGACU